rnacentral:rRNA from 1 species
CAGUAGCCGCGGGAAUACGUAGGUGGCAAGCGUUGUCCGGAAUUAUUGGGCGUAAAGGGCUCGCAGGCGGUUUCUUAAGUCUGAUGUGAAAGCCCCCGGCUCAACCGGGGAGGGUCAUUGGAAACUGGGAAACUUGAGUGCAGAAGAGGAGAGUGGAAUUCCACGUGUAGCGGUGAAAUGCGUAGAGAUGUGGAGGAACACCAGUGGCGAAGGCGACUCUCUGGUCUGUAACUGACGCUGAGGAGCGAAAGCGUGGGGAGCGAACAGGAUUAGAGACCCCAGUAGUCCCUGUCUCUUAUAC